GAUGAACGCUGGCGGCGUGCCUAAUACAUGCAAGUCGAGCGAACAGACGAGGAGCUUGCUCCUCUGACGUUAGCGGCGGAAGGGUGAGUAACACGUGGAUAACCUACCUAUAAGACUGGGAUAACUUCGGGAAACCGGAUCUAAUACCGGAUAAUAUAUUGAACCGCAUGGUUCAAUAGUGAAAGACGGUUUUGCUGUCACUUAUAGAUGGAUCCGCGCCGCAUUAGCUAGUUGGUAAGGUAACGGCUUACCAAGGCAACGAUGCGUAGCCGACCUGAGAGGGUGAUCGGCCACACUGGAACUGAGACACGGUCCAGACUCCUACGGGAGGCAGCAGUAGGGAAUCUUCCGCAAUGGGCGAAAGCUUGACGGAGCAACGCCGCGUGAGUGAUGAAGGUCUUCGGAUCGUAAAACUCUGUUAUUAGGGAAGAACAAAUGUGUAAGUAACUAUGCACGUCUUGACGGUACCUAAUCAGAAAGCCACGGCUAACUACGUG
rnacentral:rRNA from 1 species